CUUCUAAUUUUAUACUUUAAUCUAGAAAGUGGAAGCUAUGUUUGAAUUGUAUCUAAAGUAAGAACGAUUAAGCUCUAAAUAAGAUUCUGAGGGAUAGAUCUGAGGAAAAUCCAUAGUGGAUCUUGGGUGAUCAAUGUGUGUGACUCACACAGUUCAACACUUAAGCUUUCCUUUGUUUAUUCACUGUUCUUUCCUACACUAAGCUUCUAUAUUAUAAAUCUUUGAAGAUAUAUUGAAUAGGGUUCAUUAGUCCAGGUAGGUAGGUCAAACUGUGAAAGUAAACAACUUGGUGAUUUCAAUGCAGAAGCACAGCAAAGGUGUGCUUCUUGCCUAUAGAAUACUAAUCAAGCUUUCAAGGGAGAAUUACCUUCCCCAAGGAAUGUGUCCUUUGUACAGCUAGUCAUUGUACUAGACUGAUGUUGUGCCAUAGAGUUUAACUAUACCAACAGAAAGAUGUGGCAUCCUGUCUAUCAAAGCAAACUAGGAGAAUAUGGAAGAAUGCAUGGGCUUUCCACAGAGCAUCUCUGUCCUCUCCCCUUUGGCAAGCAUGACCCACAGCAAAGGGACAGGGGUAUUUACUCUCCUUAUGUUCCUGGAACCAGAUUUGAGAGAAGUCUGUGUUACUAUCUUUAUAAUCUCAAAGGAACAAUUUCACUCACGCUAGAAAAAUUCUAGCUCUCAGGUUUUAAUUUUACCCCCUCAUAAUCCCCAGGUGCUCUGUUGACACAAAGGCAGGGAGCAGAGAAACAGCAUUUCCUUUUGUUUGUGCUGAACAGAAGGGCACAGUGGCUGGUGUUUCCAGGUCAUGAUUUAUUGGUUCCUCUGAAGCACUGCAAUGCUGUAUUCUUCCAGGACACUCAGCAACACAGCAGGCCUUUUUAAGAAUCCCAACUGGCUCCCAGGCUGAAUACAAGAGGAGGAAAAGGCAUCAGUUGAAAUGGAAAUCUGCUCACACCAAAAAUAGACCUCUCAUGAGGAUUGUCUUGAAAAAGAACUCAGGGCUCAGUAGUUCUGGGUGACAUAUGUUGAAUCAUUUAAAUUUUGUUUCUCUCGACAGUUUAGUCAAAAAUAAAAGAAUUUAAAACAGUGAAAAAAAUAAAAGGAUUUUAAUGUUAAAAACUAGCUCAGGAAUUUCUCCCAGACCAGGGUAGCCAAAGCAUUGGUCAGCCCAAGCUGCUUUCCAUUUCCUCUUCGUGUUUCUGACACAUAAUUUCACAAACUCUGUUACAUGACAGUCCUGUAAUACAGGCUAUUUUUGUCCCACACCUCUUCCAAGUCAUCUGGUUAUCCUCUCAGGAAAUGUGUAUCUAACAUUUUCUCUCUGUUCUUUCUAUCAUUAGGGCAUUCAAGGUCCCCUUUCAAAGCUGUCGGCUCCCCAAGCCUUUCUCUAUGCUUUGUAAGACACAGCCCUUUUCUCUGGGAUCUCUGGUUUUGAUGCCAAGGAUAUUCUGAAGGACAGAAAAAAAGAGGCCAAGUAAAUUUCUUCUCUGUCAAUUAUUUGUGAUAUUGUGUGGAAGAUUCUUCUUAUUUCUUCCCCAGACUUUUGAUAGGAAUCACAGAUGGAUACUUAGACAAUUGCUUUCAGGUUUUUCUCCCCUUAUGUAUAAACUCCCAUUUAUCAUAGAUUGAACUACAUUCCUUGGAGAUUGAAGUAUUCUGUAUGUUUUUAUUUCAGAUUUCUCUCUGAUUAUUUUAUUUACCCACCAGUAAUUAGAGGUAUAUUAUUCAAGUUCUACACAUAUACAUAUUUCCUUUUAGCUUUUGGGUUUAUUUUUAUUAUUAUUUCUACCCUUCCAAGAGA